GGAGGAAUGGCUCAGUGGUUAAGAGCACUGGCUGGCUGCUCUUCCAGAGAGUCUGGGAUCAAUUCCCAGUACCCA
rnacentral:tRNA from 1 species